GCAUACACUCUUUCUUUUUAUAAAUUGUAAAGCUUCUCGUCUUUUCUUUUUUAACGAUAGAAAUGACCUUGAUAUUGUAUAGUAACACAGUAACUUGAAUGGUUUUCAUGCUGUUCUUAUGCAUUAUUAACCUUUAUUUUCUUUUAUGUGAUAUGAUGAAGAAUCAUUAAGUGGAUUGUAUGAAUCUACACUUUGAUUACUUUUGGUUUGCUUAUAAAUUGUGGACAGUUAUGUACAUCAAAUUUAGCUUUACUGAUUUCAACAAUGCUAAUAAUGUGGAUGAAGUAGAAUCUAUGUCUAUUUCAGAUGUAACAAAAGUGCUCAAUCUCACACUCAAUCAGAUGGGUCUUCAAAGAGGAAAAGGAAAGCUGCAAAUCAUGAAGAACUUUCAAAUGCACUUACACAAUUAGCUUGUAUUAUCGCAGAGUGUCCCAAAUAAUGAGAAGGAUGAAUGGGCGAGACUUCUUUUUGAUGGCUCUCUUUAAUACACAGCUCGGGAAAGAGUUAGAAAGAUCAUGUUCAUUCACUUUGAUCUAAUACAAUUUGCAGGACAAUUUACAUUGCCUUUGACAUUUAGUAGUAUACAAAUUAUAAUUUUUUGAAUCUGGUGUAAUGUUUUAUGCUCAUAAUUUUGCAAACAAUUAUUUUGAGCAUAAAUAUGAGUAUUGGACAUGAAUACUUACACUUUUUGUAGUGAUAUUUUAUGUAUGGACAA